UACGUAGGCAGCGAGCGUUGUUCGGAGUUACUGGGCGUAAAGGGUGUGUAGGCGGUUGUUUAAGUUUGGGGUGAAAUCUCCCGGCUCAACUGGGAGGGUGCGCCGAAUACUGAAUGACUCGAGUGUGGGAGAGGUGAGUGGAAUUCCUGGUGUAGCGGUGAAAUGCGUAGAUAUCAGGAGGAACACCGGUGGUGUAGACGGCUCACUGGACCAUAACUGACGCUGAGGCACGAAAGCGUGGGGAUCAAACAGG
rnacentral:rRNA from 1 species